UAUAUAUGUGUAUGGUGAAAAAUUCUGUUUUGUACAUGGAUUUUCUUAAGUGGGAGUAAUUUCAACUCCUCAGAAAUGCCUCCAGUCUUGCAUUGAUGCGCUAGAUUUUAAAAUUCUGUAUUUGAUAGCCAAACACAACUACUUGUCUUUCUUUCAUGAUUUUAUUCCCACUUUGAAGAUUAGAUGUGUAUGUGUAUCCCUUGAAUGUAACCUUCGGGCUUGGAGAUGAGAAAUUAAGAUUGUUGAAACAAAUGCAACAAAAUUGGAUGAUCGACCAUGAUCAUAUUGAACGUUGGUGCUGGCACGAAGGGCCGAAUGGCCAACUCCUGCACAUAUUU